rnacentral:rRNA from 1 species
AGAGUUUGAUCAUGGCUCAGGACGAACGCUGGCGGCGUGCCUAACACAUGCAAGUCGAGCGAAUGAAGUUCCUUCGGGAACGGAUUUAGCGGCGGACGGGUGAGUAACACGUGGGCAACCUGCCUCAUAGAGGGGAAUAGCCUUCCGAAAGGGAGAUUAAUACCGCAUAAGAUUGUAGUACCGCAUGGUACAGCGAUUAAAGGAGCAAUCCGCUAUGAGAUGGGCCCGCGGCGCAUUAGCUAGUUGGUGAGGUAACGGCUCACCAAGGCGACGAUGCGUAGCCGACCUGAGAGGGUGAUCGGCCACAUUGGGACUGAGACACGGCCCAGACUCCUACGGGAGGCAGCAGUGGGGAAUAUUGCACAAUGGGGGAAACCCUGAUGCAGCAGCGCCGCGUGAGUGAUGACGGCCUUCGGGUUGUAAAGCUCUGUCUUCAGGGACGAUAAUGACGGUACCUGAGGAGGAAGCCACGGCUAACUACGUGCCAGCAGCCGCGGUAAUACGUAGGUGGCGAGCGUUGUCCGGAUUUACUGGGCGUAAAGGGAGCGUAGGUGGAUUUUUAAGUGAGAUGUGAAAUACUCGGGCUUAACCUGAGUGCUGCAUUUCAAACUGGAAGUCUAGAGUGCAGGAGAGGAGAAGGGAAUUCCUAGUGUAGCGGUGAAAUGCGUAGAGAUUAGGAAGAACACCAGUGGCGAAGGCGCUUCUCUGGACUGUAACUGACGCUGAGGCUCGAAAGCGUGGGGAGCAAACAGGAUUAGAUACCCUGUAGUCCACGCCGUAGACGAUGAAUACUACGUGUAGGGGUUGUCAUGACCUCUGUGCCGCCGCUAACGCAUUAAGUAUUCCGCCUGGGGAGUACGGUCGCAAGAUUAAAACUCAAAGGAAUUGACGG